ACAGAGGGGGCAAGCGUUGUCCGGAAUUACUGGGCGUAAAGCGUCCGCAGGUGGCCGUGCAAGUGUUAUGUGAAAGCCCCGCGCUUAACGCGGGGAGGCCACGACAGACUGUGCGGCUGGAGGGGUGCAGAGGGUCGUGGAAUUGCCGGUGUAGUGGUGAAAUGCGUAGAGAUCGGCAGGAACACCAAGGACGAAGGUAGCGACCUGGGCACCACCUGACACUCAGGGACGACAGCGUGGGGAGCAAACCGGAUUAGAUACCCGGGUAGUCCACGCCGUAAACGAUGGAUGCUCGGCGUGUGGCGGCUAUCAACGCCGCUGGGCGCCUCAGCUGACGCGGAAGCAUCCCGCCUGGGAACUACGAGCGCAAGCUUA
rnacentral:rRNA from 1 species